rnacentral:rRNA from 1 species
CAGUCGCCUCGGGAAAACGUAGGGUGCAAGCGUUAAUCGGAAUUACUGGGCGUAAAGCGUGCGCAGGCGGUUGUGUAAGUCUGAUGUGAAAGCCCCGGGCUCAACCUGGGAACUGCAUUGGAGACUGCACGGCUAGAGUGCGUCAGAGGGGGGUAGAAUUCCGCGUGUAGCAGUGAAAUGCGUAGAGAUGCGGAGGAAUACCGAUGGCGAAGGCAACCCCCUGGGAUGACACUGACGCUCAUGCACGAAAGCGUGGGGAGCAAACAGGAUUAGAUACCCCUGUAGUCCCUGUCUCUUAUAC